rnacentral:rRNA from 1 species
GACGAACGCUGGCGGCGUGCUUAACACAUGCAAGUCGAACGGAAAGGCCCUGCUUUUGUGGGGUGCUCGAGUGGCGAACGGGUGAGUAACACGUGAGUAACCUGCCCUUGACUUUGGGAUAACUUCAGGAAACUGGGGCUAAUACCGGAUAGGAGCUCCUGCUGCAUGGUGGGGGUUGGAAAGUUUCGGCGGUUGGGGAUGGACUCGCGGCUUAUCAGCUUGUUGGUGGGGUAGUGGCUUACCAAGGCUUUGACGGGUAGCCGGCCUGGGAGGGUGAACGGCCACAUUGGGACUGAGAUACGGACCAGACUCCUACGGGAGGCAGCGGUGGGGAAUAUUGCACAAUGGGCGGAAGCCUGAUGCAGCAACGCCGCGUGCGGGAUGACGGCCUUCGGGUUGUAAACCGCUUUCGCCUGUGACGAAGCGUGAGUGACGGUAAUGGGUAAAGAAGCACCGGCUAACUACGUG